GGGCCCGCACAAGCGGUGGAGUAUGUGGUUUAAUUCGAUGCAACGCGAAGAACCUUACCAGGGCUUGACAUCCUGCGAACCUCUGGGAAACCGGAGGGUGCCUUCGGGAACGCAGUGACAGGUGGUGCAUGGCUGUCGUCAGCUCGUGUCGUGAGAUGUUGGGUUAAGUCCCGCAACGAGCGCAACCCACGUCUUUAGUUGCCAGCAUUUAGUUGGGCACUCUAGAGAGACCGCCGGUGACAAACCGGAGGAAGGUGUGGAUGACGUCAAGUCAUCAUGCCCCUUACGUCCUGGGCUACACACGUACUACAAUGGUGGUGACAAUGGGUUAAUCCCAAAAAGCCAUCUCAGUUCGGAUUGGGGUCUGCAACUCGACCCCAUG
rnacentral:rRNA from 1 species